GGGAGCCGGGUGACGGGAGACUGUCACGCCCGGUUCUGAGGGAGCCCGGAGGUGCAACCCCUCCGGGCCACCCGAC
rfam:Mycobacterium rutilum strain DSM 45405 genome assembly, chromosome: I